rnacentral:piRNA from 1 species
UGCAUCUUGUCGCCACAGGCCU